rnacentral:rRNA from 1 species
AGAGUUUGAUCAUGGCUCAGGAUGAACGCUGNCGGCGUGCCUAACACAUGCAAGUCGAACGUUACCCUGGUCUUCGGAUUGGGGGAAAGUGGCGAACGGGUGAGUAACACGUUGGUGACCUGCCCCGAAGACGGGAACAACCCUUCGAAAGGAGGGCUAAUACCCGAUAUGCUUGCGCUGUUUAGAAGGGCGUGAGUAAAGUUGCGGCGCUUCGGGAGGGACCAGCGGCCUAUCAGCUAGUUGGUGAGGUAACGGCUCACCAAGGCGAAGACGGGUAGGGGGCGUGAGAGCGCGGCCCCCCACAAUGGAACUGAGACACGGUCCAUACUCCUCCGGGAGG